rnacentral:rRNA from 1 species
UCGAGCGCAUUCUUGGGUGGCGGCGACGGGUUCGUAACGCGUGGACGUACCCAGACUAAGAAAGCCACCGGAUCGGGAGUAAACCUUAUACGCCCUUCGGGGAAUGAUUAUCGGAUUUGGAUCGGCCCGCGUUAGAUUAGAUAGUUGGUGGGGUAACGGCCUACCAAGUCUACGAUCUAUAGCUGGUUUUAGAGGAUGAUCAGCAACACUGGGACUGAGACACGGCCCAGACUCCUACGGGAGGCAGCAGUGGGGAAUCUUGGACAAUGGGCGCAAGCCUGAUCCAGCCAUGCCGCGUGAGUGAUGAAGGCCUUAGGGUCGUAAAGCUCUUUCGCCAGGGAUGAUAAUGACAGUACCUGGUAAAGAAACCCCGGCUAACUCCGUGCCAGCAGCCGCGGUAAUACGGAGGGGGUUAGCGUUGUUCGGAAUUACUGGGCGUAAAGCGCGCGUAGGCGGGUUGUUAAGUUAGAGGUGAAAUCCCGGGGCUCAACCCCGGAACUGCCUUUAAUACUGGCAACCUAGAGUUCGAGAGAGGUGAGUGGAAUUCCGAGUGUAGAGGUGAAAUUCGUAGAUAUUCGGAGGAACACCAGUGGCGAAGGCGGCUCACUGGCUCGAUACUGACGCUGAGGUGCGAAAGUGUGGGGAGCAAACAGGAUUAGAUACCCUGGUAGUCCACACCGUAAACGAUGAAUGCCAGUCGUCGGGUAGCAUGCUAUUCGGUGACACACCUAACGGAUUAAGCAUUCCGCCUG